UACGGGGGAGCAAGCGUUGUUCGGAUUUACUGGGCGUAAAGGGCGCGUAGGCGGUCGUGACAAGUCACUUGUGAAAUCUCCGGGCUUAACUCGGAACGGUCAAGUGAUACUGUCGGACUAGAGUACAGAAGGGGCAACUGGAAUUCUCGGUGUAGCGGUGAAAUGCGUAGAUAUCGAGAGGAACACCUGCGGCGAAGGCGGGUUGCUGGGCUGAUACUGACGCUGAGGCGCGGAAAGCUAGGGGAGCGAACGGG
rnacentral:rRNA from 1 species